UAUGAGAGCAAUCGGGUGGUACCAUCUGUCACUGCACUGAUUGCCAGAAAUGAUCAGGCUGAUCUGGACAGCUAAAUGGGGUGUUUCCCUCCUUCCUCACCACUCCACGUCCAUCCCUACCCAAGCUGCACUCUAGGGUGAAGAAGACAACCUUCCCUGACAGUGGAGGAACAUUCUUUGGUCAAGUAUAUGAGUAACUAGCUGAACUCCCCUGCUAGAAUCUCCAAACUACUUGCAAGAAACUAGAAAAAGAACAAAACAGACCCAAAGCAAACAGAAGAAAGGACAUAAUGAAGGGCAGUUGCCAAUGAAACACAGAAUAGAAAAACAGAGGUUUUGCUGGUUCUU
ensembl:misc_RNA 7SK 7SK RNA